AGGUCGUAAUGUGGGCAAUUCCCUAACAAGCUCUUGUACCUCUCCCAAGCUUUAUAUAGUGACUCUCUAGCUUGUUGUUCAAAGUUGGCUAUGACUUUCUUGAGCUU